rnacentral:lncRNA from 1 species
UAACAACAAAUAUUUGACAAAUGCAGAAAAUCGUUAGUCAACGAUCUUACUUUUUUUGUUUCCGAUUUCGAGAAUAGAAAUUAAAGGAAAAGGUGAGAAUAUAAAAAUUUGAAGAAGAAACCUUAACACGCAGGCGUGAAACUAGCUUUUGUUUGCGUAUUGUGUAUAGAAUUCUUCGGUAUUCGAGCAGAUCUGCUGUAACGAAAAAACGCGGAAAGAAGCAUGGAAAGAAUUUCGAACGAGCGCAAAUCUUCCAUUGACAUCUCCGUGUGUCGCCGGUGGGGAAGAAAAGCGCUAGGGUUUGUUGAAGGUGCGAGCAAAAACGAGAAAGUGGGGGAAAAUUGAGAGGGAAAUUUAGAGAGAGGAAAAAAGAAAGUGAUUAUCGGAAAUUUCAGAGAGGUUUUUAGUUAUUUUAACUUCAAUUAGACCUUAGACAGCGCUUUUGUGGAAAGCGCUUUCUAAGGUAUGCCUUAGACAGUGCUUUCCAAAAGCGCUUUCUAAACCCCCCCUUAGACAGCGCUUUUGGUUUUAAUUUUUU